CCUACGGGAGGCAGCAGUUAGGAAUAUUGGGCAAUGGAGGAAACUCUGACCCAGCAACGCCGCGUGAAGGAAGAAGGUUUUCGGAUUGUAAACUUCUGAUCUGUGGGACGAAGAAAGUGACGGUACCACAGGAGAAAGCCACGGCUAACUACGUGCUCGCCGCCGCGGUAAUACGUAGGUGGCGCGCGUUGUCGGGAAUAACGGGGCGUAAAGUGAGCGUAGGUUGUUGGUUAAGUUGAAUGUGAAAGCCCAGGGCGCAACGGUGGAACUGCAUUUAAUACUGGUCGGCUAGAGUACAGGAGGGGGAAACGGAAUUUCUGGUGUAGCGGUGAAAUGCGUAGAUAUUAGGAAGAACACCGGAGGCGAAGGCGGUUUACGGGACUGCAACUGACACUGAGGCUCGAAAGCGUGGGGAGCAAACAGGAUUAGAUACCCUUGUAGUC
rnacentral:rRNA from 1 species